rnacentral:lncRNA from 1 species
UCAUUAUGCCAGAUGAUAUUGGAACUGCACUCUGAUUCCUCGUUUUUUUGUUACUAACUCAACCAGAACAUCAAAUGCCCUUGAUCCAAUACCUGGCCAAUUUAAAACAGAUUAAAUUCAGAAAUAGUUUUGACUAAAUCAAGUUACAUAACAAAUUCUAGUCACACAUCAAGUUACAUAAUGUAAAUUAAAAUAAAUUCUACCAUCAAUUCAACUAUUCAAGGUACAAAUCAAGUUACAUAAUGCAAAUUCUACAAUCAAUUCAAUUAUUCAAGUUACACAAAGCCAGGGGCGAAUCCGGGAAUUUAGAGCACAUGGGCUGAAAUUUAAGAAAUUCGAUAUACUAAAUUAACAUCUAAUACUAAAAGUCAAAUUCAUCUACUUUUGAAAUUAUUUUCCACGAGGAUUUUAAACUGAAUUUGAAGUCAUUCUAAACAUAAAAUUCAUCUAUAAUAAAAUCUACAUAUAUCUUCUCAACAAAUUCUCGUUCAACAAGACAAUAACAAUUCAUUAUUUUGGCCGAAAAGACAACAAAUAGUGAGAUGUGCACAUUGAUUUGUUGAAGGAAGCAAAUUGCAGAUUUUUAGACUGCAAAUUUUUCGACUUUGAAGCUUUUUCCAAUGAAGAAAAAUAAAACCAUCUUCAAUUGUGAAACCCAAGUUCAAGUCUACUAAAUGAGAAAUACCAAAACGCACAAGAAUGAAUCAAUAUAAAGUAAAACGGGAAUAAAGAUUAAAUGAAUCAACCAUGUGCAUAUUAUCCUAUAAAGCAUGAUAAUUUGAUCCUAAGAAAAUUAUCAACAAGUUCAAUUAACAAGCAUCACAGCUAAAAAUCCUAAAAAGUUUGCUUCAUUGUCUAUUUAUAAGCAGCAAAAAUUAUCCCUUAUCAAAGUGAAACUCUCACCCCUCAUGUCCAAAAAGUAAUGACUCCACAUCUCGAAUACGUCCUUAUGUGUUGCGACCAAAAAGUAGUGAAGCCACAAAGAUGACCUUAUCUCAUCUAGAAUACGUCCCCUAAACUCAUAUUCAUUUCCAUAUCAUCCACAUUAAGCAAUCAUUUGUAGCCAAAAAUUUUCCAUUCACCAGCUGGAAAAUACCAACUGGACAAUAAUCAAGUUCAGGUAGCAAUGCUAAUUUAAUUAAACUCCAGUGGCCACUAAGCUUCGAAAUCGAUUUAGCACAUUCACAACUAAGCAUCAUAUGAACUCAUGUUUCCUCUCCUCCAAGCCAUUUUCAUUGGGUAUUCAACUCCAAAUCCCCUCUUGCUAAAUUAUUUUUAGUCGGGAUCUCAUUGUGAAGAAUCACAAAACGAAUAUCUUAACCUUUUGUGAAACUUUGAG